rnacentral:rRNA from 1 species
AAAGAAUUUCGGGCACGGAUUUCUCCGCUCUUCCAUUCAUGAAAAACGGAACGAAAUGGCAUACCUGGGGGGGAUUGGAAAAUCCCCGUAACCCUCCAGUCCUUUAACCCCAGUUGGGCCCCAAGCCCUUUAGCCGAAGGCCCCCCCGGCUGGGUGGCCCGCCU